rnacentral:rRNA from 1 species
UACGUAGGGACCAAGCGUUGUUCGGAAUUACUGGGCGUAAAGGGCGCGUAGGCGGGAUGGCAAGUCGGUCGUGAAAUCCCUCGGCUCAACCGAGGAACGUCGAUCGAUACUGCUGUUCUUGAGGAUUGCAGAGGAGACUGGAAUUCCCGGUGUAGCGGUGAAAUGUGUAGAGAUCGGGAGGAACACCGGUGGCGAAGGCGGUUGCCUGGAGCUUUGCUGACGCUGAGGCGCGAAAGCGUGGGGGGCGAUCCGG